GGAGGUCUUAGCUUAAUUAAAGUGUUUGGGUUGCAUUCAGGAGAUGUAUAUUAGAAUUAUACAGGCCUUC
rnacentral:tRNA from 1 species